UUCCAGACUCCUACGGGAGGCAGCAGUGAGGAAUAUUGGUCAAUGGGCGCGAGCCUGAACCAGCCAAGUCGCGUGAGGGAUGACGGCCCUACGGGUUGUAAACCUCUUUUGUCGGGGAGCAAAUUCCGUUACGUGUAACGGAGUCGAGAGUACCCGAAGAAAAAGCAUCGGCUAACUCCGUGCCAGCAGCCGCGGUAAUACGGAGGAUGCGAGCGUUAUCCGGAUUUAUUGGGUUUAAAGGGUGCGUAGGCGGACUGGAAAGUCAGCGGUAAAAUCGAGAGGCUCAACCUCUUUCCGCCGUUGAAACUGUCGGUCUUGAGUGGGCGAGAAGUAUGCGGAGUGCGUGGUGUAGCGGUGAAAUGCAUAGAUAUCACGCAGAACUCCGAUUGCGAAGGCAGCAUACCGGCGCCCGACUGACGCUGAGGCACGAAAGCGUGGGUAUCGAACAGGAUUAGAUACCCCCGUA
rnacentral:rRNA from 1 species